AGAGUUUGAUCCUGGCUCAGGACGAACGCUGGCGGCGUGCUUAACACAUGCAAGUCGAACGAUGAAGCCCUUCGGGGUGGAUUAGUGGCGAACGGGUGAGUAACACGUGGGCAACCUGCCCUCCACUCUGGGAUAACUCCGGGAAACCGGGGCUAAUACUGGAUACGACCACUUGGCGCAUGCCGGGUGGUGGAAAGUUU
rnacentral:rRNA from 1 species